rnacentral:rRNA from 1 species
GACGAACGCUGGCGGCGUGCUUAACACAUGCAAGUCGAACGGAAAGGCCCUGCUUUUGUGGGGUGCUCGAGUGGCGAACGGGUGAGUAACACGUGAGUAACCUGCCCUUGACUUUGGGAUAACUUCAGGAAACUGGGGCUAAUACCGGAUAGGAGCUCCUGCUGCAUGGUGGGGGUUGGAAAGUUUCGGCGGUUGGGGAUGGACUUGCGGCUUAUCAGCUUGUUGGUGGGGUUGUGGCUUACCAAGGCUUUGACGGGUAGGCGGCCUGAGAGGGUGGCCGGCCACAUUGGGACUGAGAUACGGCCCAGACUCCUACGGGAGGCAGCAGUGGGGAGUAUUGCACAAUGGGCGGGAGCCUGAUGCAGCAACGCCGCGUGCGGGAAGACGGCCUUCGCGUUGUAAUCCGCUUUCGCCUGUGACGAAGCGUGAGUGACGGUAAUGGGUGAAGAAGCACCGGCUAACUACGUG